rnacentral:rRNA from 1 species
AGAGUUUGAUCCUGGCUCAGGAUGAACGCUAGCGACAGGCUUAACACAUGCAAGUCGAGGGUGAUCCCCUUCGGGGGUGAAACCGGCGCACGGGUGAGUAACGCGUAUGUAACCUGCCCGUAAGUGGGGGAUAGCCCAGUGAAAACUGGAUUAAUACCGCAUAAUACCAGAGUUUGACAUCUUAUUCUGGUUAAAGAUUUAUUGCUUAUGGAUGGACAUGCGUAAGAUUAGCUAGUUGGCGGGGCAACGGCCCACCAAGGCGACGAUCUUUAGGGGUUCUGAGAGGAAGGUCCCCCACAUUGGUACUGAGACACGGACCAAACUCCUACGGGAGGCAGCAGUGAGGAAUAUUGGUCAAUGGGCGGAAGCCUGAACCAGCCAAGUCGCGUGAAGGAUGAAGGUAUUAUGUAUUGUAAACUUUUUUUGCCGCAGAGUAACCGCGGGGACGCGUCACCGCCUGAGAGUAUGCGGCGAAUAAGUAUCGGCUAACUCCGUGCCAGCAGCCGCGGUAAUACGGAGGAUACGAGCGUUAUCCGGAUUUAUUGGGUUUAAAGGGUGCGCAGGCGGAUCGGUAAGUCAUUGGUGAAAAGUUGGGGCUCAACUCCAAUCGUGCCUAUGAUACUGCCGGACUAGAGUGCAAGCGACGUAACUGGAAUGUGGUGUGUAGCGGUGAAAUGCUUAGAUAUGCCACAGAACGCCGAUCGUGAAGACAGGUUACGAAUUUGCAACUGACGCUCAUGCACGAAAGCGUGGGGAUCAAACAGGAUUAGAUACCCUGGUAGUCCACGCUGUAAACGAUGAUCACUCGUUGUCGGCCGGUGACGGUCGGUGGCUAAGCGAAAGCGAUAAGUGAUCCACCUGGGGAGUACGAUCGCAAGGUUGAAACUCAAAGGAAUUGACGG